CCCCAAACAAAAAAAAAAAAGGGGGGGGGGGAAAAAAACCACCCUCCUCAAAAAAUAGAUAGGGUGGGGGGGGACACACCCCCCCCCCCCCCCACACAUAUAUAUAUAGGGGGGGAGCGCCACACACGCGGGAGCGGCCGGUUUAUUGUAUUUAAUCGCCGGAGAUCUCACUAGAGGCGACAGCUGUAUGAUAGACAGGCUGAUGACUUUCCUUGACUAGUUUAGAGAGAGUGCAUGGCCGCCGUCAGCUCGUACCGUGAGGCGUCCUGUUAAUUCAGGCAACGAGCGAGACCCACGCCCUCAGAUACCAGCAUAUCCUUUCUUUGGAUGAUGGGCACACUAAUGGGACCGCCUAUGAUAAAUACGAGGAAGGAGUAGACGACGGUAGGUCCGUAUGCCCCGAAUCUCUGGGCAACACGCGGGCUACAAUGGCUGAGACAAUGGGUUCCGACACCGAAAGGUGGAGGUAAUCCUCUAAACUCAGCCGUAGUUCGGAUUGAGAACUGUAACGGGUUCACAGAAGCUCCCUGCACCUGCACACAUAGGAAGGGCGGGGACCUCG
rnacentral:rRNA from 1 species